UAAAACAAUGGUAGAAAUAGGAGGGAUUUCAAGGAUAAAUAAACCAAAUUUAGAAAUGAAUUUGGCUAUAUAAGCCAUCCGUGCUCAUUUUCUUCCUCACAUUUUCAAUUUCUUUCUUUUGUUAUUUUCUUUCUUUUCAUACUUUGUUCAUUUCAAAAAUUUGUUGCAUCCGGUAGUUGGUUUGCUCUCAAAAAUUUUCUACACAUGGUAUUUUCUUAGCAACCAAGCACCAUUUUCUUCUUUAAAUUCUCAAGUAAAACACCAUUUUUUCUCUUAAGCUUCGGUUUGGUUAUUGAGCGGACCACUCAGAAGUCACAAAGGAUAGCAAGAUCGAAGCUGAAAAAUUUGAAGGAGCAUCGACUAGCAAAGAUAAGGAGAAGGUUACAUAGUCAAUGUUGUGGUGAACAAGAUAAACAACUAGCGGGAUAGCGAGGAGGUUGGCAGUUCAGUGAUCCAUCGAACAAAAUUUCUUCCUACAGUAUGUGCGCUGGACUUAUAGAACCCCAAGAAGGCAAUGUGGGACAUUCCUAGGCUAGAGCCUUAGAAUGUGACUUAGAUAGUUUAAGAUAAUUUAAAAAUAAUUUUUUAAAGGGUUGUAAUUAAGUUUUUGGUUUGUUUAAUUUUUGGGACUUUUUAAUCUCCAGUUGUUUGAAUUAUAUGAUACUGCCUAUAUGAACUAACGGGACAUUUUUCAGCUAGUAGAGCCUGUUGAAAUUCAGGUACGUCUUAUUCCGCUUAUUGCAUGACUUAUUGCUUGAUUUAGAAAAGCAUGCUCUUAGAACUAAAUGCUUGUGUGAAAUAUUUUGUAUCUGUGUGGUGAGUAUGGAUGGUUGGUGUGAUUUGUGGUAGUUUUUCAGAGAGUUACCUUGGUGGCUAAUGUGUUGCUCAAAAUUUAGGUUAGAUUGUUUCAGUUGGGUUUAGGGUAUCAUAUUUAGUGGUAUUAGAGCUAGGUUUAUAAAAUAAAAAUAAUAAAUGGGGUUUUAAUAAGUAAAUAAAUAAUUUUAGCAUUUUUGGACAAAAAUAAUUUUGUAUGAAAAUUAGUUGUAAAUGGGGUAGGAACAAGAACACAUUGUCUUCUUUGAAAAUAUUUUCUUGAAAAAAAUUACCUUGGAUCACUUGGCACUUCUAACUUUUUUAUUUUAUUUAAAUUAAAGCAAAUAAUAGAUGGAUAUGCCUUCUAGACGUGGGCAUCUAGCUACGAAUGCACUGGUGGAACCACCUCCGAGACAAGCUGCAUUUGGAACUGGUUUCAAGCCCUUGGUUUAAGCACUGAUUGAGGCGUUCUAGAGUAUAGUUGGUGGUAGGGGUGAGCAUUCGAUCGAAUCGAAUCGAAUCGAAUCGAAAAUUUUCGAGUUAAUCGAGUUUUCGAAUAUCAUUUUAUCAUCCUAACUUUAUUUGAAGUUUUAUCGAAUCGAAUCGAGUGAGAUAGAGAUCGAAUCGAAUCGAAUCGAAUUAUUUG